UAUCGUACUUUUCGUUCCCAAAAGCUGCCCGGCCGGGCCCCGUGUGGCAGCUCCUGGCAGCCACUUUAGUUGUACGAAUCGCAUGAGAGUGAAUCGACUGCUAUAUUCUAUACCGUGAUAAACAACAACCGGGAUCUUCCGGAUCGGACUCUGGUGUUGCUACAUCAAAAACGUUUUUAUCCUCCAGGUUACAACAGGGUGACUCCUGGGUUGCAUACUACUUCUAGUGACCAACAUCACAACAGUGCCAACAGUAGUCAAUAGAGUUGGACAAGACUACGGACAGCAAAUGGCGGAGCAGUCAGAGCUGGCUUUGUAUGAGACAAAGUUUCAGAACAGGUUUACUGAGGAAGACCCAGUGUUCAUGGCUUAUCAACAGAAACAGUCACCAUCACCACCAAUAGUAGACAACUGGGCCUCACGAUCAAGGAGGAACUUUCAUGACAGAUCCCAGAUGGGAGGCAGAAAUGAGGGAUGGAGAGGAAGAAAUGAGGGAUGGAGAGGAGGAAGAAGUGAG